rnacentral:lncRNA from 1 species
AAAAAACCCAAAAAAAAAAAAAAAAAAACACCAAAGAGAUAAAUUAUAUACCUGACCGAGAAAAACCUUGGAAAAAAAGCUUGGAAGCUCACAGAAUAAAACCCUAAAGCUUGAAGAAGAAUGUUUCCUGCAACUUAAAUGCAAAAUCAGAGAUAACAACCAGACGUAGAGCACGAAAAAACAAAGAAACGUUGGGCAAAAAAGCCGAAUAGCCCAAAUUCACAGCAAUCAAUCAUAAAAUUUUCUUCCUAACCAAACAGAAAAUAAACCAACACAUGCAUCAACAUACCUAAACGAAAGAGAUUCGUUCGCGCAAAACAGGGGAAAAAACGACAAACACCUUCGAGAAGAUCCGAUCGGAAUCGAAAUCAAAAGACGGACAGGAAAACUGAGAGAAACGGAACGGCAGAUAGAAAAAAGAAGAGGAAAAGAAAAGGUUAAAUUACAUUUUACCGGUUUGGGUUUGGUUCUAAGCUUUUUAGAAC